UACGUAGGGGGCAAGCGUUGUCCGGAAUCAUUGGGCGUAAAGAGCGUGUAGGCGGUUCGGUAAGUCGGCUGUGAAAGUCCAGGGCUCAACCCUGGGAUGCCGGUCGAUACUGCCGGACUAGAGUGCAGAAGAGGAGAGUGGAAUUCCACGUGUAGCGGUGAAAUGCGUAGAGAUGUGGAGGAACACCAGUGGCGAAGGCGACUCUCUGGUCUGUAACUGACGCUGAGGCGCGAAAGCGUGGGGAGCAAACAGG
rnacentral:rRNA from 1 species